ensembl:lncRNA
CACAAGGCUCAGGUCACACAGUCACACCUGUGCAGACCUAAACUAGGAUCUCCCAAGCUGGAUGUGUAGCUAGUUGCCAAAAAGUGCAAAGUCUCAUUGCAGAAUUUUGCCAACACAAAGGAAUUCAGUGCAACAAGCAGCAGCAGAAAUAACUCCCAGCUUAAACUCAUCACCUUUCUCUUCUUAUAUAUUCACAGUCCGACCCCAUGUUCUCCAGUUCUUACAGUGACUUAUGGAGUUCUUAACCUCCUUCCCUCCUUCUCUAGUGAACACCAAACUCCAUGCAAAAUCUCAAGAUGCUCACGACCUCUUUUGGCUUUUUCUAUGGCUUUGCACAGUAAUCUGCUCUUGAAAACUUCCUCUCCCCUAUACAGCUAUAGAGAAUCAUUAGGGCACUCACAGGGUUUAAAUAGGGAAACAUUACUCUGUGCAUCGAUGUGAAAUAGGCUUUUCAGCCUUGCAAUUUUUCCUGGUACCUCCCAACUUUUUCCAGCUUUGCAGCAAUCUCUGAACAUGCAAACUGGUCAGAAAUAGCCGGUGAGACUCAGACCACCAGGACCAGCUCCCUUUCUGGAAGUUCUCUGAGCAGUUGUCCUGCAAAACACCCAUGCGUUUUGUUCCUUGAAAGCACCCGAAGCGCAGAGCAGAGCAGCAGGUAACAGCACUGCAGUGCAAACUGCACCCCUGGCACUGAUCUUGGGGGUAUUCGCCCUGCUGCAGCUCUCCUAUGCUUCCCACCUGCCUUCAGGAAUGCUUUUCUACCACGAGAAGCUCGCAGCAGGGCUCUGACAGCAGAUACCCGAAGACCAAACUUCAUUCUUUCAAUUCUCCGUGAAUUUAGAAGUUGUUCUGAGAGACCGUCCGGCACGGCGGGCUCCCACUGACCUGAAGGACCGCCUCCUUUCUCUUCACAGCCAUUCUUCCACAGCAACAGCAGGUCGCUGCGCAGCGCCCAGUCGGCGUCUUCUAAUUACGUGACUCCAACCGCUGCCAGCCUGCACCACACGGAGCCUUUUACCUGUCGCUGCUCAUCUAUCUGGGACCCGGCGGGAGCAGGGCUGGAGCCGACGUGCUGCUGCAGCACCCGAGUCAAAACGCCUGUGGAAGGAGCAGACUGGGCCCGGGAUCAGGCCCAGUCAGCAUGGGUUCAUGAAAUGUAUUUCCUGCUUAACAAAUCUGAUGCCACCUUGUGACAAAAUGACCCACUUAGUGGAUGAGGGUAAGGCUGUUGAUGUGGUUUGCCUGGACUUCAGUAAAGCCUUUGACCCCCACAGCAUCCUUGUGGAGAAGCUGGCAGCCCAUAGUUUGGAUGGGAAUACACUCUGCUGGGUGAAACACUGGCUGGAUGGCCAGGCCCAAAGAGUUGUGGUCAAUGGAGUUAAAUCCAGGUGGUGGCCGGUCAUGAGUGGUGUCCCCCAGAGCUCAGUACUGGGGCCACUACUAUUUAACAACUUUAUCAGUGAUCUUGUUGAGGGGAUUGAGCGCACUCUCAGUAAGUUUGCAGAGAGCACCAAGUUGGGAGGGAGCGUUGAUCUGCCAGAGGGGAGAAAGGCACUACAGAGGGACCUGAAUAGACUGGGUUGAUGGGCCAAGGCAAACUGGUAUUAGACCAGAGAGAUUACUGCGUUACAAAGGAAAAAUGAAAUUAAGAGCUUACCCACAUCCUGGGCUUACAGAAGGGCUCCAAAAGAAGCAAUCUCCAGAUAGAAAUCCUUCCUCCCUGGGAGUCAGCCCUUAAAUGGGGUCUGGGAGAGGUGCAGCCUCUCCCCUUCUGGUCACUCAGGUGAAAUUGCAUUCACCUGUGCCCCUGCAGCUGACUCAGCGCUCGCCUCAGGUGGUCAAUCAGAGGUUCAGGCCAUGAUUCAACAAUUCCCAUACAGUAAGGCCAAGUGUCAGGUCCUGCAUUUUGGUCACAGCAACCCCAGGCAACCCUACAGACUUGGGGAGGAGUGGCUGGAAAGCUGCCUGAUGGAGAGGGACCUUGGUGUACUGAUGGGCAUUCGGCUGAAUAUGAGCCAGCAGUGUGCCCAGGUGGCCAAGAAGGCCGGUGUCAUCCUGGCUUGGAUCAGGAGUGGUGUGGUGAGCAGGACGAGGGAAGUCAUCCUGCCCCAUGUAUGUGGCAUUGGUGAGGCCUCACCUCGAGUACUGUGUUCAGUUUUGGGCAUCUCAGUCCAGAAAGAACAUGGAGGUGCUGGAGCAGGUCCAGAGAAGGGCAACAAGGCUUGUGAAGGGCUUGGAGAAUGUGUCCUAUGAGGAGAGACUGAAGGAACUGGGGCUGUUUAUUCUGGGGAGGAGGAAGCUGAGGGCAGACCUUAUUGCUCUCUGCCAAUAUCUGAAAGGUGAUUGCAGUGAGAGUGGGGUUGUUUACUUCUCAUUGGUGACAGGACAAGGGGAAAUAGCCUUAAGUUGCACCAGGGUAAGUUUCGGUUGGAUGUCAGGAAAUACUUCUUUACAGAAAGGGUUGUUAAGCACUGGAAUAGGCUUCCUGGGGAGGUGGUUGAGUCACCAUCCCUGGAUGGUUUAAACAGUUUAAAAUCUGUUUGGAUGUGGUGCUCAGGGACAUGAUUUAGCAGAGGGUUGUUAGGGUAGUUCAGUUAGAUUGUGGUUGGGCUCAAUGAUCUUUAGGUCUUUUCCAAGCCGAACAAUUCUAUGAUUGAUUAAGUACAAAAUGCCAUGGGCAGGAAAAUCCUGCUCUGAGGCCUCAUGCAGGGCAUGGAGUCCACGGGGCACUGUGGCUGUGGGUGCUGCACAUGCAGCUGUGAGGCUGGAUCCUCCCACGGUGGUGGGCUCCUCAGUGGGGACAGGCGCAGGCAGCUCGGCACCAUCUUUUUGGCAGCAUCCUCCACUCAUGUCAUGCUGCCUGAUGGUGCCUACACUGCCUUGUCUGUGCUGCUGCCCUGGUGCCGUGGGGCAACAGGCACAGCACUGGGGGGGGGUUGGAGCUGCAUGGAUGGUGGCUGGCACACCAGCCCCACCACUAUCACCCUCUACCUCAGGAGUUGCAGGGCCUGAAUGGAUUCCAGCAAGUGUCUGCACAGCUAACAGGUAGUGCCUGCUCUCCUGCUGCUGCCAGCCACCACACUGUCCACAGGUGUUUGUGGCCUUUGGUCUCCUGGCAUGGCAGCAGCUUCCCCUUCUUAGCUGGUUUGCUGCUGCUGGGCUGCUCAUGCCUGGAGGUCGCCCCUUUCUUGGAGGUGUCACUGGCUGGGUGGGUAAGCACAGCACUGGGGCUGAGUUGGGCCUGCAUGGAGGGCGGCUGGUGUACUGGCCCCACGGUCAUCACUCUCUGCCCCAGCGGAUGCAGGGCCUGGAUGGAUUCCAGCAAGUGUCUGCGCAGCUCACUGACAUUGCCCACUUGCCUGCUGCUGCUGGCUCCUGUGCUAGCUCCAGCUGGCUUUGUUUGUGCAGAUGUUUGAAGCCUUUGACCUCUCUGCAUGGCAGCAGCUUCCCUUUCUUGACUGGGAUGCUGCUAGUAGGCUGCUCGUGCCUGAAGGUCUACCCUUUGUAGGGGGUGCUGGCAGGCACAGGGUGCUUGGCCC